rnacentral:misc_RNA from 1 species
GUGAAUCAUCAAAUCUUUGAACGCAUAUUGCACUCUCUGGUAUUCCGGAGAGUAUGCCUGUUUGAGGGUCAUUAAAAAGAAUCUUUAACCAAUUUUUUUGGUCAAAGGAAAUGAGUUCGCCGCGUUUAUAGCGGUAGCUUGAGAUAAAUGUUAGUCACAUUUUAGUCGAGAAGCGUAAUAA